rnacentral:lncRNA from 1 species
AUUGGAUGGGAUACGAAGACGGCCGGUCAAUUGUAAAAUUAGAUAUUAAGUUUGUGAAUAGGGGGGACACCCUUAUGAACCUCAAGGGGUACCGGUAAGCAGACAAGAAAGGAAAACUAUUAUUUCUCAUUCUCUUAUGCGUGAAGGUGAAAAGUGAUAUGGAUAUGGGUCUUCAUAGGUUGUCUUUGGAAAAAUCGUUAUGGUAAGUAUUAAACAAAUGUUUAUAAGUUUUAAAUGUACUUAAACAAAGCAAUGGCUCCAUUAGUUAUUUUUCUGAUUAUUUUACCAAUCUUCAGUUUUUUGUAUAUUCAAUUAGUGUAAUAUUUUUAUUGGGUUAAUGUAUCUUAUCUUUUUAUUAACUAUUUCAGAUCAAAAGGACAAAGAUUCAGAUCCCUAUCAGUAUGAGGGUUGUGAGUAGUUCACUAUUCAGACUCCCUUUUAAGUGCUAGUGAAGGUUGUCCUAAGAUGCUUAGUUAUUCAUUUUUCGUUUUAUUUCUUUAAUUUUCGUUUGUCUUUUAGAACGGACAUUACCGUAAUCAUAUUGGG